rnacentral:rRNA from 1 species
ACGCUCGAUACCUACGGGGGCAGCAGUGGGGAAUAUUGCACAAUGGGGGAAACCCUGAUGCAGCAACGCCGCGUGAAGGAAGACGGUUUUCGGAUUGUAAACUUCUGUUCUUAGUGAAGAUAGUGACGGUAGCUAAGGAGCAAGCCACGGCUAACUACGUGCCAGCACGCCGACGGUAAUCUGGAGGCGGGCGUGGACGAAGGC